rnacentral:ncRNA from 1 species
CCCGCUGAACUUAAGCAUAUCAUUUAGCGGAGGAAAAGAACUAAAAAGGAUUCCCUUAGUAACGGCGAGUGAAACGGGA